AGAGUUUGAUCCUGGCUCAGAUUGAACGCUGGCGGCAUGCCUUACACAUGCAAGUCGAACGGCAGCACGGGAGCUUGCUCCUGGUGGCGAGUGGCGAACGGGUGAGUAAUACAUCGGAACGUACCCUGAAGUGGGGGAUAACGUAGCGAAAGUUACGCUAAUACCGCAUAUUCUGUGAGCAGGAAAGAGGGGGGAUCGCAAGACCUCUUGCUUUAGGAGCGGCCGAUGUCGGAUUAGCUAGUUGGUGAGGUAAAGGCUCACCAAGGCGACGAUCCGUAGCGGGGUCUGAGAGGAUGAUCCGCCACACUGGGACUGAGACACGGCCCAGACUCCUACGGGAGGCAGCAGUGGGGAAUUUUGGACAAUGGGCGCAAGCCUGAUCCAGCCAUGCCGCGUGAGUGAAGAAGGCCUUCGGGUUGUAAAGCUCUUUCGGUGGGGAAGAAAUUGCUUCGGUUAAUACCUGGAGUAGAUGACGGUACCCGCAUAAGAAGCACCGGCUAACUACGUG
rnacentral:rRNA from 1 species